rnacentral:rRNA from 1 species
CAAAGGUAGCGUAAUCACUUGUCUAUUAAUUGUAGACCAGCAUGAAAGGCAAAAUGAGGGCCUGACUGUCUCUUAUAGUAAACCUAUUAAACUGAUCUCCCAGUAAAAAAGCUGGGAUUAUAACAUAAGACCAGAAGACCCUGUGAAGCUUUAACUAAACUAUUAAACCAUAUAAUAACUACUUUCGGUUGGGGCGACCUUGGAAAAAAAAAGAACUUCCAACCACAAUGACCUAAAAUCAUCCACAGGCCCACAAGCCAACACUAGACCCAGUACAACUGACUACCGAACCAAGUUACUCCAGGGAUAACAGCGCUAUCUUCUUUAAGAGCCCAUAUCAAAAAGAAGGCUUACGACCUCGAUGUUGGAU